AUAUUCUCUCUGCAAGGUUGUUAAAAUCGCGAGUUGACUUUUGAAAUCUUAUGAUUUUACGAGUCAACAUGUAUAUAACAUGUCAAAUCAGGUUAAAACUUGAAAUAUGUCAAAAUCCUUCAAACUCGGUUAAAAUCAGU